GCUUAUACUCGACCGUCAGCGGCACGUGCGAUCGCGCCCGCGAGGGCCGGUCACGAAGCCCUGACGAGUAGGAGGGUCGCGGCGGUGAGCGCAGAAGGGCUGGCCGCGAGGCCGUCUGGAGCCGCCGUCGGUGCAGAUCUUGGUGGUAGUAGCAAAUACUCCAGCGAGGCCCUGGAGGACUGACGUGGAGAAGGGUUUCGUGUGAACAGCCGUUGCACACGAGUCAGUCGAUCCUAAGCCCUAGGCGAAAGCCGAUGUCGAUGCGGUGUAGUUUUACUAACUAAUAAAUAUUAUAGUAUGUGGCACACACCCGUCGGGCGAAAGGGAAUCCGGUUCCUAUUCCGGAACCUGGCAGCGGAACCGUCAAUAAGUCGGGC
rnacentral:rRNA from 1 species